rnacentral:rRNA from 1 species
AACGCGAAGGAACCUUACCUACUCUUGACAUCCAGAGAACUUAGCAGAGAUGCUUUGGUGCCUUCGGGAACUCUGAGACAGGUGCUGCAUGGCUGUCGUCAGCUCGUGUUGUGAAAUGUUGGGUUAAGUCCCGCAACGAGCGCAACCCUUAUCCUUUGUUGCCAGCGGUCCGGCCGGGAACUCAAAGGAGACUGCCAGUGAUAAACUGGAGGAAGGUGGGGAUGACGUCAAGUCAUCAUGGCCCUUACGAGUAGGGCUACACACGUGCUACAAUGGCGCAUACAAAGAGAAGCGACCUCGCGAGAGCAAGCGGACCUCAUAAAGUGCGUCGUAGUCCGGAUUGGAGUCUGCAACUCGACUCCAUGAAGUCGGAAUCGCUAGUAAUCGUAGAUCAGAAUUUU